rnacentral:misc_RNA from 1 species
GAUGAAGAACGCAGCGAAAUGCGAUACUUGGUGUGAAUUGCAGAAUCCCGUGAACCAUCGAGUCUUUGAACGCAAGUUGCGCCCGAAGCCACUAGGCCGAGGGCACGCCUGCCUGGGCGUCACACGCCGUUGCCCCCCCAUCUACUCCUUCGGGACUGCGGGGGGGCGGAUGAUGGCCUCCUGUGCGCCUAGCCGCGCGGUUGGCAUAAAUACCAAGUCCUCGGCGACGCACGCCACGACAAUCGGUGGUUGCGAAACCUCGGUUGCCCGUCGUGUGCGUUCGUCGCGCAUCGAGGGCUCGAAAAAAUGCUCGGCUCCGGCUGGGCUUUCAACGCGACCCCAGGUCAGGCGGGGUUACCCGCUGAAUUUAAGCAUAUCAAUAAGCGGAGGA